rnacentral:rRNA from 1 species
UGGGGAAUAUUGCACAAUGGGGGAAACCCUGAUGCAGCGACGCCGCGUGGAGGAUGACGGCCUUCGGGUUGUAAACUCCUUUUGUCAGGGACAAUGGUGAUGGUACCUGACGAAUAAGCCACGGCUAACUCUGUGCCAGCAGCCGCGGUAAGACAGAGGUGGCGAGCGUUGUUCGGAAUUACUGGGCUUAAAGGGCGCGUAGGCGGUGGUGUAAGUCUGGGGUGGAAUGCUAGAGCUCAACUGUAGAGCUGCCUUGGAAACUGCAUUAUUUGAGUCGGUGAGGGGAAGGCGGAAUUCCUGGUGGAGCGGUGAAAUGCGUAGAUAUCAGGAGGAAGGUCUGUGGCGAAGGCGGCCUUCUGGCACUUGACUGACGCUGAGGCGCGAAAGCGUGGGGAGCAAACA